rnacentral:antisense_RNA from 2 species
AAGAGCACGACAUUGCUCACAUUGCUUCCAGUAUUAGUUGCCCGCGUUAAUCCGCGGGCCUUUUUU